GUGUACUCAUGCUGGGGGUUCACCGGCACCGUGGUAGUGACCCUGUGUGCCUUGGCCUGAAGCUCGCGGGCUGCUAUCCUCCAAAACCUGGCGAAUAGCUCAUCAAGCUUGGCUUCAAGGUCGUUUUUCUCUGUGUCUCGGGUACAUGUGGCGGUGGCCAUUUUGCCUUGCUGUGCCGCUACUCGCUGCUCAUCAGAUUCUACCCCAGAGGCUCGGGCAGGGAGGUUGCCCC